rnacentral:rRNA from 1 species
CGUAGGGUGCGAGCGUUAAUCGGAAUUACUGGGCGUAAAGCGUGCGCAGGCGGUUUAGUAAGACAGGCGUGAAAUCCCCGGGCUCAACCUGGGAACUGCGCUUGUGACUGCUAAGCUAGAGUACGGCAGAGGGGGAUGGAAUUCCGCGUGUAGCAGUGAAAUGCGUAGAUAUGCGGAGGAACACCGAUGGCGAAGGCAAUCCCCUGGGCCUGUACUGACGCUCAUGCACGAAAGCGUGGGGAGCAAACAGGAUUAGAUACCCUGGUAGUCCACGCCCUAAACGAUGUCAACUGGUUGUUGGGUCUUCACUGACUCAGUAACGAAGCUAACGCGUGAAGUUGACCGCCUGGGGAGUACGGCCGCAAGGUUG